AAUUUAUUACAAGUAAAAACUGUGAAUUCAUCAAUCUCCUGACUUAAUCUGACCUAGCCGGAUCUCUUUCAGAGAGUUUUCUGAACUUGAAGCAUGCCUGUUUCUUGAUUAAUGAGGUCCAUCGCUACUGUGGGAGAUGAGUGGUUGUCAGCCCUGUGGCAUAUCAACUGCUGUAUCUCACUCUUUUCAACCUCUUACACUGACCUGUGUAGAACCAAGUCCACCCAUAAGACCAAUAUGUUUCUCCUCUUUUUGCUUAGUUGCAGAGAUAUACUUGCACUGUAGUCUGAAAAAAAACUAAAACCCUGAAGCCAUCAACAACCUGGUAGGACAAACCACACAUUAUCUCCAAUCUGUAACCACUGCCUCCCCUCCCCCCUGCAGUUGUUGUAUUUUGCAGAGGGACAGACUACAUGCUCCCAACAGACGAAAUCUGCGAUGGCACCUUUCAAACUAUUGUUUAGACUCAAGCAAAAUGAAAACCAUGCCUGUUCCCCUCUCUGCUCCUAAAGCUAGCAAGGGUGGGAGAUGCUGUGUUUACAUACUGAGGACAGACAGAAGCUCUGCUCGCUGCUGGGACAUCCAUUUUAUUUGGAUUGACACCAGGACUACUUUGUGUUUUCAAUACAUCGCUGUGGCUUUCACAGGGGGGAAAGGAGGGGGCUUUCGAAAGCCAAACCAAGCCGCGUUCAUUGCCCCAGUGGCCUUUAGCAACCUCUUCACAACUUUGUCCCUACUUUUGUAACAAACUUCCCGGGAUGGGGCUUUGGUUUGCACACCGCCAGUGUAAACUGCCACUCUAGCAAAUCUUUGCAGUGCUUUUUUUUUUUUUGGGGGGGGGGGCAUAAUUUUUCAAACAGGGCGAGCAGACUGGGACUAUACAGCUGACUGCACGCGAGCAAAAGAGAGAAGAGGGAAGAAAAGCGAAAAAAGAAGUCAGGAAAAGCUUCUCUCCAAGCAGAAGGGAGCCCCUAGUGUCCACGAUCCAAGUGUAAAAAGAAGAAGAAGAAGAAAAAAAAGAAAACGUUUUCAGGCUGGAGAGGAUUUCCACAUUUCGGGGGAGGGAGACGUGGUGGCAAAUGCCUCUUUAAAUCUCUCCACUGGGUUUUUCUUCUGAUCGGCUCGACAGGGAAAAGAACACUACAAUUCUCCAUUGCAAAGCGUGAGCUGAUCAAACCGUUAGCACUGAAGAGCAGCUUUAAGACUUUAGUUAAUAAAAUGCCAGAGAGAUUCAUAAUAA